UUUGCUCAGUCGGUAGAGCGUCGCAUUUCCAUGCGUAAAGUCGUUGGUUCGAUAC
rnacentral:tRNA from 12 species